CAUGCCUCCCCAUAAGGACGUUGUUGUACGCCAGCCAAACCGGACUCUGAGGGCAAUUCUUUAAAUAUAUCAUGAAGUCAUGUUGAAAUUGGAACUCGAGAGGCAAGAUUACGAUGGCAUUUAGUCAAGGACCUAGGAAUUCUCGAAUCUUCCUUUCAACUGGCCAUCUCUUUCUUCGGGAUCUUCAAAGAAAAUAUGUGUACUAAUGACCAAGCAAGCCAAAUGAGGGAACCCAGGAAAACAAAUCCAUUUGUAGCCCAGCCUUCCCGAGCACAGAAUACACGUCUCCUAGCAGCUGGAACUCAGGCUGGCCUUGCUCCCCUGACUUAAAGUUCAAUCAACUGUGGAGUUUAUGCUUGGAAUUUAACCACCACGAAGCCUAUUAUGCCUAAGGAAAAACCAUUUGGGUUUCUAAAGAACCAACUAAGUCAUAAACUUGGGAACACAAUUCACUAAGGUGUCAGAGCCUGCCUUCAGAAUGAAUGAGUGGGCGAGGUGGGACCAAGCCAGGCCAAGUGAACCCUCCCUCCCCAUAUCUCCUAUUCCAAGUCACGGGGAGAAAGGCUGCAAAUGUUUGGAGUCUGUGCCUCCCAGGGGAGGAGAUAUCCUGACAGACCACCUUGCCACCAGCUUUUCCUGAGCUCUUGUCCCUGAGCCUCCAGAGCUGUCCUGUUUCAAGCUUGUAUCCAAGCCUGCUUUUCCAGCCUUCCCACGGAUUCUGUAAGCUUAUCACCUAAUUCCCAAUACAUUCCCUUCUGCUUGAAUUGCCAAAAUUAGUUUCUAUUCCUUUUUCUUUCUUUUUUUUUUUAGG
rnacentral:lncRNA from 9 species